GUCUUCCCAGCGGCGCUGACUCUGGCUCUCGGUGCGGCAGCGCCAUCUGGUGCCGAGUCUCGCACGGCUCGCCGAAGGGGCGCGCGCCCUUCUCUCGGAACCUUCCAGAGAAACCGCGGCCCCGGCUUUCUUUUCUCCGCCUUCGAGGCGGGAGGGGCUUGAGUCUCCGCCCCGCCGAGUUCCCGCGCUGGACUUUGUGGGACUCCGAAGCGGAAGCUUCUUGUGUUAGGAGCGAGAGGCACUCCCAAAGCAGGGGAGGUUGUGCUCGUUAGCUUAAGCCCCGGCCCUAAUGGUUCUGUUUUACUGUUUGCUUCCCGAUGGCUCGGUCCUAGGCCACUCUGACGCGUUCCUGCAGCAAUUCCUGUCUGUGGGAGCUGGAGUUCGUUGUUUCUGCUAGUGAGGAUGGCUCAUUCUUUGUGAUUAGAUUGGUUCUGCUGCAAAAAGCUUUGGAUUCCUUUCACCUGUGUUGUUAAAGUGGCGGUGAUGGAACGUGCGGUGCACACGUUAGAGACGUUUAGACAGAGAACUUGGGGGAUAAUUUGCCUUAAAAAGGGCCAAGGAAAUUUGGAUUAAGUAGCCUCAGAAUGAAUCUAGAUUUGUUUGGCGUAUUUAUUUUACAUAACUGGUGAAAGGAACUAAUCCUACCAAAGUCAGAAAAAACCGAGAUAGAUAUCCCCCUUAAUGUCAAAUUUAUACUUGGAAACCUAGAUUUUCCAGGAAGCUUGCAUACCUGAUAAUGAUUCUUUGUAAUGUUUAAUUGGGAUGGCGUUUUGAGUAUCAUGUACUGGGUCAGUGAAAUUGAAUGACAUUCAAGCAUUUCUUCUCUAGGAUGAUUCUCAAGCAUGCAUCAUAAUUCCCCAAAAGGUUUAUUAAAAUACAGAUUGCUAGGCCUCAGUGUCAGAAUUUGUAACUGGGAAAGAAGGCCUGGAGGUGGAGCAAGAAAAUUAGAGCUCUAAGUUCUCAGAUGCUACUGAUGCUGUUGAUGCUAGGACCACAGUGGAAGUUUGUAGAGUUUAGGAUUGCGUUGUCAACAGUGUUCUUUGCAGAUAUGCUUUGUAUUUUUAUCUACCAAUACAAUCACCCUUCUUAGAAGAAAUUGGCUUCACAUCACGACAGUGUAAAGGAAGAGGGCAGAAACAGCAAAAAUGCAAGGAGGAUGCAGCAAGAAGGCCCUCAUGAGACUAAUGCCACGGUCAUGAGGUUGAACUUCCCAGCCUCCAGAGUUGUGAGGAAAUA